AUGUGGCGCAUGGCGCGUGUGGCCCGUUGUGGCACACGACAUGGCACAUGUGCUGGACUGGACGCAAAUACAUAUGCCAAGAGGGAACGUUCCUGUGGGCCGACGAGGACAUCGGUUUCGUUAAGUGGGGGGUCACUAGUGGAAAAACGGCUAGCGACAACUUUCGUUUGUGCCGCGCCGCACAUCCUUGUUGGCAACGCCGGCGUGAUCGACGACAAGUACCCGUCCCUCGCCGACACCACCACGGCGGACUUCGAACGCGCCUUCGUCGUGAACACACGCGGCGCGUUCCUCUGCCUCCGCGAGGCCGCCAACCGCAUGCCCCACGGUGGAGGCGGCCGGAUCGUGGCUCUGACGACGUCCGUGGUUGGGUCGCUCCGGACGGGGUACUCUGCUUACACGGCGUCCAAGGCGGCCGUGGAGGCCAUGGUGCGGACGAUGGCCAAGGAGCUCAAGGGCACGUGGAUCACGGCCAACUGCAUGGCGCCGGGGCCAACGGCCACGGACAUGUUCUUCGCCGGGAAGAGCGACGAGACCGUGAGGGAGACCGCGGAGACCAACCCGAUGGAGCGGCUCGGGGAGGUCGGCGACAUCGCGCCGGUGGUCGGGUUCCUCUGCACCGACGCCGCUGAGUGGAUCAACGGGCAGGUCAUUCGGGUCAACGGCGGGUACGUGUGA
rnacentral:rRNA from 1 species